rnacentral:rRNA from 1 species
UACAGAGGUCUCAAGCGUUGUUCGGAUUCAUUGGGCGUAAAGGGUGCGUAGGCGGCGCGGUAAGUCGGAUGUGAAAUCUCGGAGCUUAACUCCGAAACUGCAUUCGAUACUGCCGUGCUUGAGGACUGGAGAGGAGACUGGAAUUUACGGUGUAGCGGUGAAAUGCGUAGAUAUCGUAAGGAAGACCAGUGGCGAAGGCGGGUCUCUGGACAGUUCCUGACGCUGAGGCACGAAGGCCCAGGGGAGCAAACGGG